AAAGUGGGAAUUACGGUAAUAUAAAUACCUUAAUAAUGCAUUGAAAAGCAAAGAUAGCAUGUAUUUUGUAAGUGUGUAUAACGGACAAAGAUAAGAAAUUGACACGUUAUGUAUAUGGUAUACAUACAUUAGAAAGGGCAUUAUGGUAUAAAUAACUGGAUAUACCCCUUAGACCAGUAAAACUUGAAGAAAUGUUUCUAAAUGUUUUUAAGAGUUUUUAUGAUCUGAAAAGUAUUCUGUAGACAUCAGGAAAUGUAACAAGGCUUGUUUUAUCAAGUUGAGGAAAACUGUAGUUACUCCAUAAAAAAAAGGAUUGACAAUGUUGGUUAAAAACGAAAAGUGUUCAGAUUAGGCCCUUCCUGGGCACGAUAAUAAAAUGUUUACAUAUCAGCAAAAGUCGUUUGCCUCCACCAGUUUAUUCUUUGAUUUGGUUAUUUGAAAAUCAAAAUGUGUGUGACACAAAUUAUACAUUUUAGCGUUAAUUUCGUAUAUACACAAGAGUACAAUGGAAUAAUUUUAGCGAAGCAUCACCAGGAUCUUAGACAGUUUUUCAGUAAUAUAUCAAUCUUUCGUAGUGAUGCCUAGAACUAGAAGUUGAAGGCCAGAAAGAAGCAGUUUGAAUAAAAAUUAACAGCUUAAAACUUUCUUUACGUUAUUAGUCUUUCAGAUAAAUAAGAUGCAGUCUUUGUCUUUGUUCUUCCCAAAAUAAAACUGUACAACUGCAUUGAAGGGACUCAGAUAGUAAAAGUGCGAGUUUACCUAAUGAUGUCAUAAUUAUGUAUCCAAGAGUCUGAUGUUCAGUCCAUAUUAAUAAAAUACUUCCAACAUUAAUUUUAUUAAAUUUAAUUAUUAGUUUUGAACAAUCCUGACUUUUAAUAAUUACCAUUCAGUUUGAAUUCAAUAUAGUAUAC